rnacentral:rRNA from 1 species
GGGCGAAAGCCUGACGGAGCAAUACCGCGUGAGGGACGAAGGUCUGUGGAUUGUAAACCUCUUUUGUUGGGGAAGAUAAUGACGGUACCCAACGAAUAAGCAUCGGCUAACUCCGUGCCAGCAGCCGCGGUAAGACGGAGGAUGCAAGCGUUAUCCGGAAUUAUUGGGCGUAAAGCGUACGUAGGCUGUUUCAUAAGUCUGUUGUCAAAGCGCGAGGCUCAACCUUGUAAAGGCAAUGGAAACUGCGAGACUAGAGAGAGAUAGGGGCAGGAGGAAUUCCAGGUGUAGCGGUGAAAUGCGUAGAUAUCUGGAAGAACACCAGUGGCGAAAGCGUCCUGCUGGAUCUCAACUGACGCUGAAGUACGAAAGCUAGGGGAGCGAAUGGGAUUAGAUACCCC